GAUGAACGCUGGCGGCGUGCUUAACACAUGCAAGUCGAACGAAGCAUUUAAGACGGAUUCUUUCGGGAUGAAGACUUUUAUGACUGAGUGGCGGACGGGUGAGUAACGCGUGGGUAACCUGCCUCACACAAGGGGAUAGCAGUUGGAAACGGCUGAUAAUACCGCAUAAGCGCACAGUACCGCAUGGUACAGUGCGAAAAAACUCCGGUGGUGUGAGAUGGACCCGCGUCUGAUUAGCUAGUGGUGAGGUAACGGCCCCACCAAGGCGACGAUCAGUAGCCGGCCUGAGAGGGUGAACGGCCACAUUGGGGCUGAGACACGGCCCAAAACUCCCUAACGGGGAGGCAGCAGUGGGGAAUAUUGGCACAAUGGGGGAAACCCUGAUGCAGCGACGCGCGUGAGUGAGGAGUA
rnacentral:rRNA from 1 species